rnacentral:sRNA from 1 species
ACUCACGCUGCCGGCUCCGGAGGCGGCACGCGGCCAGCGCUGCUCCGCUCCGGGGCUUUUUCCCCCGGAGUCGGGGCCGGGCGCGCGGGAACCGGUUACCGAGCGGACCUGGACGCCCUCUGCCUUCGUCAUUUCCUGCCGGCCGGUCGGUUUCCGGAUGAAACGAGGAGCCAGGUAGUAAGCCUGGAGAAAAAUUGAGGCCCCGGCUGAAAGCAUAAAUAGAUUCAUGGAGGAGACAUCACAGCUUUCCCAGAUCGGGAGGAAAAAUAUGGAAUGUGUUUUACCGCUGACUGAACACAACCAAAUGAACUGUCCUGACAGUAGUUUGCAAACCAGCAGCUAGCAGUUUGUCCAGCCUCUAACAUUGUCCAGCACUUUCCAGAGCAAACUCACUGUUUACAAGAACUCUUGGCCUUACGAAGUUUAUAACCUCAAGCUUUGUUUAUUUAAAAUAUUCCUGCAAAAGAAAAGUAACCGGCACCCACUUUCCAAAAUGGCCAUGGAUGAGUAUUUGUGGAUGGUCAUUUUGGGUUUCAUCAUAGCUU